rnacentral:rRNA from 1 species
GUGAGUCAUCGAGUCUUUGAACGCAUCUUGCGCUCCUUGGUAUUCCGAGGAGCAUGCCUGUUUGAGUGUCGUGAAAUACUCUCAAUUUCAAUCUAUUUGUUUGAAAUUGGAUCUGGGUGUUGUUGUGAGAUCACAACUCAUCCUAAAUGCAUUAGCGAUCUGCCUUUGAUCACACACAAUGUGAUAAGAAAAAGCAUUGUUUAAGAUCAUGAUCGAGAUUGCUUCUAACUGUCGAAAGACAAGCAUAUACACAUGUCAUUUGACCUCAAAUCAGGUAGGACUACCCGCUGAACUUAAGCAUAUCAAUAAGCGGAGG